rnacentral:rRNA from 1 species
CGGGGUGAGUAAUGUCUGGGAAACUGCCCGAUGGAGGGGGAUAACUACUGGAAACGGUAGCUAAUACCGCAUAAUGUCUGCGGACCAAAGCGGGGGACCUUCGGGCCUCUUGCCAUCGGAUGUGCCCAGAUGGGAUUAGCUAGUAGGUGGGGUAACGGCUCACCUAGGCGACGAUCCCUAGCUGGUCUGAGAGGAUGAUCAGCCACACUGGGACUGAGACACGGCCCAG